GUAUAUACAACUAUGUACCGGGGGGCUUUGGGGAGAAAAAGGAAAAAAUAAAAUCUUUAAAAAAAAUUAAAAAAAAAUAAAAAGAUAAAACACAGGAAAUCCCAUGGUUCCAAUAUAUGGCUUAACUAAUUAGUACAAGGUAAACGCCACUGAGACCCAGAAAAAGCGCUUUGCCAGCGACCUCACACGCCCGUGCACGUGCCCUCCCCCGCUCCCUCCCUCCCUCCUUCCUCCAGAAGCAGUAACGUUCGCCCGACUCUUAUGGGGCGCAAUGACUUCAUUUUAACGGCACUCUGCUGGCGGAGGGUGGGGGCGGGGGUUCUCAGGAAAGCGUCUCUGGCCACGGUCCGGGCCCAGUUCCCUCCGCGGACCCCUCUCCCCCCGCAGCUUGCGCAAGACCCCCCCGGGUCCCGGACCCCUGGGUGGGGGGCUCCGCCGCCCUCAUCCGCUUUCGAAAUGCAACUUUAUGCAACCGUCGCGGACAGAGCUCCAGGUUUCCCAAGAAGGAGAAGCGAAAGAGGAUCAGAAACCGCGUGCCGAAAUGUUACUGAUUGAUUUCAAGAUCACCCCCCACCCCCGGUCCGUCCUUUGGGGCCACCUCCUCCAAGAAGCCGCCUCUCUCUCUCAGCUCGCUGUCAGGAAUUCUGUCUCCGAGGCUCCUCCUGCCAGAGCCCGCAUCAGCCUGGCCGAGCACCGCUGCCUGGGAAACCCUGGGAAGGUGCUCGCUUUCCCUGCGCCUCAGCCUCCGGGCCUGUGCGCGCCUGGCCCUCGUCACCUUCCACCCGAGAGGGGAAGGAGCCGGGAGGCCUGAGUUCCACCCCUCCCCGCACCUCUCCGCCCUCAGGCCCUGCUGCCACCCUGCGGAUUCUCAGGACAAGUCCCCCCCAUCGGAUCUCCCCCUCCUUCGCUCCACAGUGACGGCGUGGGAGACGCUCAGGAGUUUUAUACUCAUGACAUAAAUAAUAAUAAUGAGCCCACAUUUGAAGGAGGCUGCUCUGCUCCCUAGCCCCAGCCUCCCCUCUGCCCCGUGCCCCCUGUCCUGCCUCCCUGUCCUCCCCCCGCCCUGCAGGCCUCCUACUGGACAACCUCUCCAGCACAUCCAGCGGGGGUGGGCGACUGAGGAGGAUGUCCACAUCAGUGAGGAAGUCCAUCCCUUAGCCAGAGCUCCAAACUGGUGACAUUGAGUCUGUCCCCUGAAGGAUGUGCUUGACCUGCACAGUCUUGAAGGAAUUAUGUUUAGUUUUUAAAAAUAAUUUCAGUUAGUUGCCAACAUUUAAGGUCAAGAGAUUGCCCAUAGAAUUUGGGCCAUGUUCCUGGGGGGUCACAGUCCUCGCUGGGCCUUUGAUGCGUCCAUACCUGGCCCCACAGGAGUCCCUAUGGGCCUUUGAAACUAAGCUAAAGAAAUCCAAAGGAGUGGAACUGGGAGCACAGGUGAGCACAGUAGAGGAGAUAUUUUGGAGUCAGGGACCCUGAGAUCCUACAGACGAGAAGUUCUACCAGGCAAAACGCUGGCCUUGACCCGGGAAACGUCACAUUGGACUCCUGGCCUCGGGCUCUCCAUCUGAACAAUGGUUGAGCAGACUGGUAUAAGGAUCCCUGUGGCCCCAGAACUUCAGGCGUUUUAGGGCCUGUGUGCUUCAUGUGUGAUGGUUUCUGGUUUUGUCCUUAUGUGUGGGUGCAUUCCUCAGGCCGCGUUCUUGGCCCAUUGGCCCAGAGUCCCUGGGGCCCAGCCCUGCCCUGAAGCCUGUCUGCCUCCCUUUAGCCUCUUCCCCGCCUCCUGACACCAUCCCUGCCUCUGUAACCCAGUCUUCCCUCCCCCAGGAGCUCUUCCUCUGGCCCUGGCACUGCCUGCCCCUGAACCACCGCUCUCCCACCCCCAGGGAGCCCACUUCCUUCAGGUGCUCGUGGACGGGGCGCCUUCCCCACGGGAGGAGCUUUUCUCGCUGCUCCUCGUUCUUCACGCUGGCCAGGAGCCAGGUGUGGGAACACUGGGCUGUGUCCUGGCCUCCCACAGCCCCUCAAUCUUGUAUGGCCUUGUUCUCUGGGCUGUCCCUGCCACUUCUCGCAGCCCUUCUGCCUCUGGUCCCUCCCCAAAGAAACUUCCCUCCAGUUCCAUUGAGAUCACCCACACCUUCUAGCCUACUCCAUUCAGUGGCCUCAUCCAUCACUCCCCAAAUAUUAUUAACUACAGUCACUGUCCUGCGUUAGGCCUGUGAGGAUUCAAGAGAGAACUAGAGCUGUCGUUUCCUCUGUGAGCUCACAGCUCUAUGGAGGAGAGAGAAAGUCCCGUGGAUAGGGGUAGAGAAAGACAAAGGCUCCAAUGGGUGAGUACAGGGCUGCUGUGGCACUUGACUCAGACUUAGGGGGUCAGGGAGGGCCUCCUGGAGGAGGCAGUUUCUAAAGUGACGUCUGGAAGGUGAGUUACCAGACAAACACAGCAGGCGGGGAGGAGUUUUCAUGCUGAGAGAAUAGCAUAUGCAAAGGCCCUGGAGAGAGCGGGAACACAGUGCAUUGAGAGCCCUAGAGAGAUGAGGCUGGACCCAGGGGCAGCCCAUGCUGAGGCCAGGAGAGGUUUCAGAGUUUGGAAAGGCUACGCCCCUGCUGUCACCCUGGCUGUCCAAGGCCUUUGAGGCCCUGACGUUCCACGGCUUCUUGAAGACAAGGUCAUGCAGAUGCUGUUCAGCAGAUGUGUCUGGUCUCCCCAGUAAGUGUCCAGUUCCAGGCCAGUCUCAGGGCCAGGGCUGUGGACACCACCAAAGACGGCCGGCCCAAAUCUCACAGGCUGCUCGCUGGGAGUCCCUCCCCUGGCCCCAGCCCUGCCUCAGUCGCCCACUGUGAUGGACUGAAUGUGUGUGUUCCCCCCGCAAAUUCCUGUUGAAAUCCUAAGCCCCAGUGAUGGCGUUAGGAGGUGGGGCCUUUGGGAGGGAAGUAGGUCAUGAGGGUGGAGCCCUCGUAAAAGGGACCCCAGAGAGCUCUCUCCCCCUCUCUCUGCCAUGUGAGGACAGCACGAGAAGCCAGCCGUCUGCGACUCAGAAGAGGGCUCUCGCCAGCGUGUGACCAUGCUGGCAUCCCGCUCUGGGACUUCCAGCCUCCAGGCUGUGGGAAAUUCCCGUGUUUACAAGCCACCUGGUCUGUAGGACUUGGUUAUAGCAGCCUGAAUGGACUGAGACACCCACGAAGGCAUCUCUGGGUGCGCAACAGUCCUCAGGGGCAUUGGCAUUGGAUCCGAGACGGGGGCUCCAACAGGGGAGCUGCCUGGUGGCAUUUGGGGUUCUCUGGGGUCACCUUUGGCUGCUGCAGUGAUGGGGGCCUUUGGGGCCGAGGCUGAUCCUGCAACACUCAGCAGAGCCCUGGGGACAGGAAAGUUGUCCCAUGUGUCCUCUCCUGAUUUUCACGUGUCCCUUCAGAUAUUCAUGUCAGUGAAAAAGCCAAACUCCAUUUCACACUUAAACACAGGAUAUUUUUGCAUGUUUUAAAACAUACUCAGAAUGCAAAUUAAUGGGAGGUGAUACUUAGUUUUGUGGGGAAUGCUGCCAAGAGUUUUAGCCUUUUCAAAAAAUCACCAUACUGACAGCAACACCUCUCCUGGGAUUCAAGGCCCCAAACAGAGUCCUGAGGCAUCUGCGUUGGUGGCAGGCCUGUGUGACACAGCGUGGUGUGAGCAUUGGCCACAUUGUCACCUGGUGUCUGCUCGUGGCAUUAUUGUUGGGCAUUUACCUGUUGAGAUGCACAUAAAUGUAUUAUGACUUUCCUUUAUAUAUUAGUUGGGGCAUUAUACUGUUUUUAAAAAAUUGUAUGCGUAGGUAAGCUUUAGUAGCUGUGCGAUGAUUUUAUGGUGACGUCCAUGACCUUAGAGACUGUGAGACCCCUCAGGACAGGAUGGCGUUGUCUCUCUCACUGUGAUGACCUUUCAUGGAGCAAAAGCCGCAGCAGGAGGCCAGGCCGUGGUGGCCCUAACCUGGGCUGGUCGUCACUGUGUCCCGCAUAGACACACACUUGCAGCAACAAAAUAGGCCAGUGUCACUUAAGAGGGUCUUUGAUGAGGCAGUAAAACUGACAAGUAUUGAAUCCCAGACCCCGAGUACACCAGUUUCAAUAUUCUGUGAUGAGGUCCGCCUUGGCCGGGCCCGGGAGACAGCUGUGGGAGGAAAAGCCUCCGUGAGCCUGUGAGAGUCGAGCUGAACCACCCCCUGUCCAGCGAACCCCGUUCUCACUGGAAAGGACGACCACAGACACCCUGGGGUGUUCAGACUUAGCCAUCUGGCAGACAGGUUUUCAAACAGGAGCAGUGUGAGAUUGUUGCUUCCAGGAAAAAUGGUUGACCACAUUAGUUGUCAAUGAUAAAUUUUGAGCUUUCAGCAGAAAUUAGAAUUUUGGAAAACAUGUAUCCACCGCUGUGAGCUUGACAGCUUCCCAAUAUUUAAAGACUUUUCUGAUGAGAUGAGUGAUCAUGUUAACGAUGUGAUUUUUUUUGACAUCGUUUCACGAUGUGUGCCAUCUUUUGGAAGAUUUGCACCAUUCAGCAAACCGAAAUUUUCCAAGUGACCAAUGCAUGAUCCACAACAUCAUACCUGCAUAAAAGAUCCAUUUAAAGUACAAGAUGGACCCUUGCGUGUUACAGUAGGAGAGUCAGAAAUGCUCGAUACGGUUUCAGAUUCCACACUGCAGCUCACCUUUAAGAACGACCCGACCGCGGGCUGGCCCCGUGGCCGAGUGGCUAAGUUCGCGCACUCCGUUGCUGGCGGCCCAGUGUUUCAUUGGUUCAAAUCCUGGGUGCGGACGUGGCACUACUCAUCAAGCCAGCUGAGGCAGCGUCCCACAUGCCACAACUAGAAGGACCCACAACGAAGAAUAUACAACUAUGUACUGGGGGACUUUGGGAAGAAAAAGGAAAAAAGAUCUUUAAAAAAAGAAAAAAAGAACGACGCAUGUUGAGUUGUGGUGCGGCAUCAACCAGGCGUCUGCACAGGCAUCUGAAAGCCUGUUCAAACACUCCUCUCUUCCAGCUGCACGUUUAUGCGGCCGGAUUUUCUUCAAUCAAAACAACGCACGUCAGCUGCCCGCGCACAGGCGGCCACAAGGGCCACAGCCUCCUGUCCCGAAGCCCGUGGAGGGGUUCACAGAAGUAGAGCGGUGCUUCUCUUUGCGCUGAAUUUUCUCUGAAGUUUUCAAAAUGUAAACAUUUUCAUUAAAAUAUUUUCAUUUUUCAUAAAAA